GACGAACGCUGUCGGCGUGCUUAACACAUGCAAGUCGAACGGAAAGGCCCUGCUUUUGUGGGGUGCUCGAGUGGCGAACGGGUGAGUAACACGUGAGUAACCUUCCCUUGACUUUGGGAUAACUUCAGGGAACUGGGGCUAAUACCGGAUAGGAGCUCCUGCUGCAUGGUGGGGGUUGGAAAGUUUCGGCGGUUGGGGAUGGACUCGCGGCUUAUCAGCUUGUUGGUGGGGUAGUGGCUUACCAAGGCUUUGACGGGUAGCCAGCCUGAGAGGGUGACCGGCCACAUUGGGACUGAGAUACGGCCCAGACUCCUACGGGAGGCAGCAGUGGGGAAUAUUGCACAAUGGGCGGAAGCCUGAUGCAGCAACGCCGCGUGCGGGAUGACGGCCUUCGGGUUGUAAACCGCUUUCGCCUGUGACGAAGCGUGAGUGACGGUAAUGGGUAAAGAAGCACCGGCUAACUACGUG
rnacentral:rRNA from 1 species